UUACAUAAGAAGGUAAUGAACCUUCUCUUUAAACUCCAAAAAUUUACGUGCCACUACACUAUAAUGUA
rnacentral:tRNA from 1 species